rnacentral:rRNA from 1 species
GGUUGAUCCUGCCAGUAGUCAUAUGCUUGUCUCAAAGAUUAAGCCAUGCAUGUCUAAGUAUAAACAACUUUAUACUGUAAAACUGCGAACGGCUCAUUAUAUCAGCAAUAAUUUAUUUGAUGUUUAUCUUACUACAUGGAUAACUGUAGUAAUUCUAGAGCUAAUACAUGCGUAAAGUCUCAACUCUCACGGGAAGGGAUGUAUUUAUUAGAUAAAAAACCAAUGCGGGUUAUGCUCGCUUUUGUGUUGAAUCAUAGUAACUAAUCGAACGCCAUAGCCUUGUGCUGGGCGU